rnacentral:lncRNA from 1 species
UUUAUACAAGACUGAGACUGCCUCUUGGCUACCUAAUUUAUACAGGAGAUGCAAAGUUGAUAUGAAAUGCGGAAAUACUUGAAGUAAAACCUCUAUGCAGAAAAAAAUCUCCUGCAUGGUUCCACAAAAAUGUUAUCACUUGUAACUUAAAAGGAUAUAAUAAAAAUAAUAUGUCCUAGUCUAUAUAUGGCACAUGUUGAUUAUCUUUUAUUGGACUACCAUGUUAGUACACCAGCACG